GUCUACAUAUGUGUGGGGCUAGUCUGUGAUACUCAGAUUAUCCAAGGGGAUAAUCUCAUUUUUAGUAUGCAAGGUUACACAGGAAAGCAGAUAUUUGUCUGCAUUAAUGACUUGUUAAAUAAAUUAAAAGUAGCCAACAUUUAAUUAACCCAUCUUUUUUGACAACCUUUAUAGAAACCCCAAUACAAUGACUGCCUUGUUCUCAUGGAUAUGUAGCCAGACAUAACCCAUAUAUUAUAC